rnacentral:rRNA from 1 species
UACGUAGGGUGCAGGCGUUAAUCGGAAUUACUGGGCGUAAAGCGUACGCAGGCGGUUUGCUAAGACAGGUGUGAAAUCCCCGGGCUUAACCUGGGAACUGCGCUUGUUACUGGCAAGCUGAGAGUGGUGGCAGAGGGGGGUGAGAAUUCCAGGUGUAGCAGUGAAAUGCGUAGAUAUCUGGAGGAAUACCGAUGGCGAAGGCAGGUCUCUGGGCAGUUACGUGACGCUGAGGAGCGAAAGCAUGGGGAGCCGAACAGGA